rnacentral:rRNA from 1 species
UUGCGCGCUCUCUCUCAAAUCUCACUCUAUUCACCUGUGCACACUUGGUAGGCAAAUAGAAAAGGAAACUUAGGUUUCCAUCUUUUGCUUAUUGCUUUUUUACACACACUAUUGAAUGUCAUGAAUGUAAUUGAAAUAAAUGUAACAACUUUCAACAAUGGAUCUCUUGGUUCUCGCAUCGAUGAAGAACGCAGCGAAAUGCGAUAAGUAAUGUGAAUUGCAGAAUUCAGNGAAUCAUCGAAUCUUUGAACGCACCUUGCGCUCCUUGGUAUUCCGAGGAGCAUGCCUGUUUGAGUGUCAUUAAAUUCUCAACUUCAUCAUCUUUGUUGAAGCUUGGAUGUGGGGGUUGUGCAGAACACUUUGGUGGUCUGCUCCCCUUAAAUGAAUUAGCGAGUUCAAACUGAGCUCCGUCUAUUGGUGUGAUAAUUAUCUACGCUACGGAUUGGACUUAGACUUGCUUCUAAACCGUCCGCAAGGACAAUUCUUGACAAUUUGACCUCAAAUCAGGUAGGACUACCCGCUGAACUUAAGCAUAUCAAUAAGCGGAGGAAAAGAAACUAACAAGGAUUCCCCUAGUAACUGCGAGUGAAGCGGGAAAAGCUCAAAUUU